rnacentral:rRNA from 1 species
AAGACGUGAAAGCCCCGGGCUUAACCUGGGAAUGGCGUUUUGAACUGGCAGUCUAGAGUGCGUCAGAGGGGGGUGGAAUUCCAGUGUAGCAGUGAAAUGCGUAGAGAUGUGGAGGAACACCAAUGGCGAAGGCAGCCCCCUGGGAUGACACUGACGCUCAUGUACGAAAGCGUGGGUAGCAAACAGGAUUAGAUACCCUGGUAGUCCACGCCCUAAACGAUGUCAACUGGUUGUUGGGGGAGUGAAAUCCCUUAGUAACGAAGCUAACGCGUGAAGUUGACCGCCUGGGAGUACGGUCGCAAGAUUAAAACUCAAAGGAAUUGACGGGGACCCGCACAAGCGGUGGAUGAUGUGGAUUAAUUCGAUGCAACGCGAAAAACCUUACCUACCCUUGACAUGUCCAGGAUCCUGCAGAGAUGCGGGAGUGCCCGAAAGGGAAUUGGAACACAGGUGCUGCAUUGGCUGUCGUCAGCUCGUGUCGUGAGAUGUUGGGUUAAGUCCCGCAACGAGCGCAACCCUUAUCAUUAGUUGCUACGCAAGGGCACUCUAAUGAGACUGCCGGUGACAAACCGGAGGAAGGAUGGGGAUGACGUCAAGUCCUCAUGGCCCUUAUGGGUAGGGCUUCACACGUCAUACAAUGGUCGGUACAGAGGGUUGCCAAGCCGGGAGGUG